AAACUCUUUAAAUUUUCUAAUUCUAUAAUAAUUAAAAUUCUUAUAUAGAAUUAUUUUCCCAUACUGCAUUACAAAGCUUCCAGUAAAUUCAAAUUCCAUCAUAAUCAUCCAUAGUCCUUCAACUCCUACUCAAUACAAUCUAACAAUGUGGCUUAUACUAUGUUCUUUCUUACAGAAAAAAUAGAUAUUAGCUGUAUCAAUGAGAGAAUGACAGAUAAAAUGGCAUCCCUAUCAUUAUAGGGAUUCGCAUGUUCUUAUUCCUAUAAAACCCAAGUAGAUAAAUAUACCCAGAAACAAAAUCAAGCUCAUACACACAAUCAGAGCGUAAAUCCACAAGAAAACAACAGAUUCCUCAUUACCAGUACAAUAAAAAGGAAGAAGAAAAUUGGUA
rnacentral:misc_RNA from 1 species